UACGGAGGAUGCAAGCGUUAUCCGGAAUUAUUGGGCGUAAAGCGUCCGCAGGCGGCUAUGUAAGUCUGCUGUUAAAGAGUGAGGCUCAACCUCAUAAGAGCAGUGGAAACUACAUGGCUAGAGUGCGUUCGGGGCAGAGGGAAUUCCUGGUGUAGCGGUGAAAUGCGUAGAGAUCAGGAAGAACACCGGUGGCGAAAGCGCUCUGCUAGGCCGCAACUGACACUGAGGGACGAAAGCUAGGGGAGCGAAUGGG
rnacentral:rRNA from 1 species